UCCAGACUCCUACGGGAGGCAGCAGUGGGGGAUAUUGCACAAUGGGGGGAACCCUGAUGCAGCGACGCCGCGUGGGUGAAGGAGCGUUUCGGCGCGUAAAGCCCUAUCGGCAGGGAAGAAGGAGGACGGUACCUGACUAAGAAGCCCCGGCUAACUACGUGCCAGCAGCCGCGGUAAUACGUAGGGGGCAAGCGUUAUCCGGAUUUACUGGGUGUAAAGGGGGCGCAGACGGCAGCGCAAGCCAGGAGUGAAAGCCCGGGGCCCAACCCCGGGACUGCUCUUGGAACUGCGCGGCUGGAGUGCAGGAGGGGCAGGCGGAAUUCCUGGUGUAGCGGUGAAAUGCGUAGAUAUCAGGAGGAACACCGGUGGCGAAGGCGGCCUGCUGGACUGCGACUGACGUUGAGGCCCGAAAGCGUGGGGAGCAAACAGGAUUAGAUACCCGAGUAAC
rnacentral:rRNA from 1 species